GAAGAGGCCUCCUGAGGAG
rnacentral:misc_RNA from 1 species